rnacentral:rRNA from 1 species
AGAUAGCGCCUACCGGGAGGGCAGCAGUGGGGAAGUAUUGCACAAUGGGCGGCAAGCCUGAUGCAGCGACGCCGCGUGCGGGAUGGAGGCCUUCGGGUUGUAAACCGCUUUUGUUCAAGGGCAAGGCAGGCUUCGGGCCUGUUGAGUGGAUUGUUCGAAUAAGCACCGGCUAACUACGUGCC